rnacentral:rRNA from 1 species
GACGAACGCUGGCGGCGUGCUUAACACAUGCAAGUCGAACGGAAAGGCCCUGCUUUUGUGGGGUGCUCGAGUGGCGAACGGGUGAGUAACACGUGAGUAACCUGCCCUUGACUUUGGGAUAACUUCAGGAAACUGGGGCUAAUACCGGAUAGGAGCUCCUGCUGCAUGGUGGGGGUUGGAAAGUUUCGGCGGUUGGGGAUGGACUCGCGGCUUAUCAGCUUGUUGGUGGGGUAGUGGCUUACCAAGGCUUUGACGGGUAGCCGGCCUGAGAGGGUGACCGGCACCAUUGGGACGGGAUACAGGCCAGAACUCCACCGGGAGCAAGAGGGGGGGAAAAUUCACAAUUGGGCGGAACCCGAUUGCACAACCGCGCCGGGGGGGAUGACGGCCUUCGGUUUUUAACCGGUUUUCGCCUGUACCGAAGUGUGAGUGACGGUACUGGGUAAAGAAGCACCGGCUAACUACGUG